rnacentral:tRNA from 1 species
GGGGGCAUAGCUCAGCCGGUCAGAGCGCACGCUUCACAUGCGUGAGGUCGCGGGUUCGAACCCCUCUGCCCCCACCA